rnacentral:tRNA from 1 species
GGACAUGUGCCCGAACGACUAAGGACUACUUUGAUAGAGUAUAACAAAGAGGAUCAAUUCCCCUCAUGUCC